rnacentral:rRNA from 1 species
CACGUAGGCACCAAGCGUUGUCCGGAUUUAUUGGGCGUAAAGAGCUCGUAGGCGGUUCAGUAAGUCGGGUGUGAAAACUCUGGGCUCAACCCAGAGAGGCCACCCGAUAACUGCUGUGACUUGAGUACGGUAGGGGAGUGGGGAAUUCCUGGUGUAGCGGUGAAAUGCGUAGAUAUCUGGAGGAAUACCGGUGGCGAAGGCGGCAUCCUGGACCGGCAUUGACGCUGAGGAGCGAAAGCCAGGGGGA